GCAGAUGUAGCUCAGUGGUGUAGUGCAUGUUUAGCAUGCAUGAGGUCCUGGGUUCCAUCCCCGGUGCCUCCA
rnacentral:tRNA from 1 species